rnacentral:rRNA from 1 species
CAGGCCUAACACAUGCAAGUCGAACGAAGGCUUCGGCCUUAGUGGCGCACGGGUGCGUAACGCGUGGGAAUCUGCCCUUAGGUUCGGAAUAACAGUUAGAAAUGACUGCUGAUACCGGAUGAUGACGUAAGUCCAAAGAUUUAUCGCCUAGGGAUGAGCCCGCGUAGGAUUAGCUAGUUGGUGUGGUAAAGGCGCACCAAGGCGACGAUCCUUAGCUGGUCUGAGAGGAUGAUCAGCCACACUGGGACUGAGACACGGCCCAGACUCCUACGGGAGGCAGCAGUGGGGAAUAUUGGACAAUGGGCGCAAGCCUGAUCCAGCAAUGCCGCGUGAGUGAUGAAGGCCUUAGGGUUGUAAAGCUCUUUUACCCGGGAUGAUAAUGACAGUACCGGGAGAAUAAGCCCCGGCUAACUCCGGGCCA